rnacentral:rRNA from 1 species
GAUGAACGCUGGCGGCGUGCCUAACACAUGCAAGUCGAGCGAGAACCGCUGGAAUGACACUUCGGUAGAAUGAAAGCGGGGAAAGCGGCGGACGGGUGAGUAACGCGUAGGUAACCUGCCCCAUACACAGGGAUAGCCUAGGGAAACCUGGAUUAAUACCUGAUGAAGCAACUGGUCGCAUGACCGGCUGCCAAAGAUUUAUCGGUAUGGGAUGGACCUGCGUCUGAUUAGUGAGUUGGUGGGGUAAUGGCCUACCAAAGCGACGAUCAGUAGCCGACCUGAGAGGGUGAUCGGCCACAUUGGAACUGAGACACGGUCCAAACUCCUGCGGGAGGCAGCAGUGGGGAUAUUGCACAAUGGGCGGAAGCCUGAUGCAGCAACGCCGCGUGAGCGAAGAAGGUCUUCGGAUCGUAAAGCUCUGUCCUGGGGGAAGAAACAAAUGACGGUACCCCGGGAGGAAGCCCCGGCUAACUACGUG